rnacentral:rRNA from 1 species
GACGAACGCUGGCGGCGUGCCUAAUACAUGCGAGUCGAACGAGAGCGACCGGUGCUUGCACUGGUCAAUCUAGUGGCGAACGGGUGAGUAACACGUGGGUAACCUGCCCAUCAGAGGGGGUAAAAUUCGGGAAAGGGAUGUAAAACCCGCUUGGGUUUUGAAGCCCCUGGGUUGAAGGGGGAAAGGGGCGCCAGCCUUUGGCGGUGGGUGGGCCCGCGGGGCAUUAGCUAGUUGGUGAGGUAACGGCUCACCAAGGCCGGGAUGCAUAGCCGACCUGAGAGGGUGAUCGGCCACAUUGGGACUGAGACACGGCCCAAACUCCUACGGGAGGCAGCAGUAGGGAAUCUUCCGCAAUGGACGCAAGUCUGACGGAGCAACGCCGCGUGAGUGAAGAAGGUUUUCGGAUCGUAAAACUCUGUUGUUAGAGAAGAACAAGUGCUAGAGUAACUGUUAGCGCCUUGACGGUAUCUAACCAGAAAGCCACGGCUAACUACGUG